CUGUGUCUUAUUUGCAGGAAUAUAUAUAUAUUGAAUGUGGAUUGAAUAAAUUUGUUUGGAAACAGAAGAAAAUGGUUUUCAUACAGCGUCGAAAUGACGUCAUUUUGAAGUUUACUUUGUGACGUCAAAAAUCAAUACCAUAACGUUGUGUGGAGCACCUGUCUGUGCAUAGUACUAUGAAAUGUGUAAAUUUAUACUUUAAAACUUUUUUGCACACAUAAUUGUUUAGUUUGAACUUGUCUAUUAUAUCGUGUAACAUAAUGUAUAUUAUUUUCUAAAAUAUUGUGCGUAUUGAACAAUUUUAUAUAUGAUUUAUAAUCAGUAUCAGUUUCAG
rnacentral:lncRNA from 1 species